rnacentral:rRNA from 1 species
AACGAACGCUGGCGGCAUGCCUAACACAUGCAGGUCGAACGAGACCUUCGGGUCUAGUGGCGCACGGGUGCGUAACGCGUGGGAACCUGCCCUUAGGUUCGGAAUAACUCCCCGAAAGGGGUGCUAAUACCGGAUAAUGUCUUCGGACCAAAGAUUUAUCGCCUUUGGAUGGGCCCGCGUUGGAUUAGCUAGUUGGUAGGGUAAAAGCCUACCAAGGCGACGAUCCAUAGCUGGUCUGAGAGGAUGAUCAGCCACACUGGGACUGAGACACGGCCCAGACUCCUACGGGAGGCAGCAGUGGGGAAUAUUGGACAAUGGGCGAAAGCCUGAUCCAGCAAUGCCACGUGAGUGAUGAAGGCCUUAGGGUUGUAAAGCUCCUUUACCCGGGAUGAUAAUGACAGUACCGGGAGAAUAAGCUCCGGCUAACUCCGUG